UAGUAUUCUUGUCCGGAUUCUUCCACACCUGCUGCGUUGCAGUUUUCUGAGUCAGUCUCCUUUCAUCUCAUCCAUGUCUUCCUCAAGAUCCUUGCCCCAAAAACGCAGAGAGAAAAUAGAUGGAUUUGGAUUGAAAGGAUAUGUCACCAGAGAGCCAUUUUAUAAAAAAGUUUUGCAGUCUCCGUCUAGUUUUAUGCUAGGCAUUAUUCUUCUUCUCCUGUUUUUUCUGCCCCUGCACAACAAUUGUAUGUGUCAAUUCGAAUGGUUUGGUUUCUUCCCACCCAUCUCUUCCUCCGGUUCCUUGCUCCAAGGUCGCUUGCCACCUAAACGCGGACAGAAAGUAGAUGAAUUCCCAGGGAUCCAUGAAGUGUUCUUGAGUUUCAGAGGGGAAGACACUCGUGCAUCAUUCAUUUCACAUCUCUAUUCCUCUCUUCAAAAUGCCGGAAUCACUGUUUUCAUUGAUGAUGAUUCGCUUCAGAUGGGAGAUCAGAUUUCCACCUCACUAAUGGGAGCAAUCGAAAGCUCUGAAAUCUCUGUUAUUGUUUUCUCAAGAAAUUAUGCAAAUUCAAGAUGGUGUCUACAAGAGUUGGAAAAAAUAAUGGAGUGUCACAGAACCAUAGGCCAGGUGGUUCUGCCUGUGUUCUAUGAUGUAGAUCCCUCAGAAGUACGUCAUCAAACAGGUAAGUUUGGAAAAGCAUUUCAAAAACAUUUGAACAGAAUUUCAACGGAGGAAGACAAGGUGCUGCGUUGGAGGAUGGCGCUCCGUGAUGCUAGCGGCAUUUCAGGGUUUGCAGUCCUAGAUUCCAGGAAUGAGAGUGAGGCUAUCGAGAAGGUUGUUGAAAAUGUUACACGUUUGCUAGACAAGACAGACUUGUUCAUUGCUGAUAAUCCAGUGGGAGUAGAAACUCGAGUCCAAGAUAUGAUUCAGUUGCUAGAUAACCAACAAUCAAAUGAUGUUUUACUACUAGGGAUGUGGGGAAUGGGAGGAAUUGGUAAAACAAGCAUUGCGAAAGCCAUUUACAAUACAAUUGGCCGCAGUUUUGAGGGUAGGAGCUUCCUCGCACAUAUUAGGCAAGUUUGGGAGCAAGAUGGUGGCCAAAUGUGUUUACAAGAACAACUUCUCUUUGAUAUCUACAAAAGAUCAAAAACAAAGAUACAUAAUGUUGAAUCAGGGAAAAAUAUAUUAAAGGAAAGACUUUGCCAUAAAAGAGUACUUCUUGUACUUGACGAUGUGAAUAAAUUGGACCAACUGAAUGCUUUGUGUGGAAGUCGUAAAUGGUUUGGUUCAGGGAGUAGAAUAAUCAUCACAACCCAGGAUAAGCAUAUACUUGCAGGGAAUAGAGUUGACCAAGUUUACAGAAUGAAAGAAAUGGAUGAAAGUGAAUCUGUUGAACUUUUUAGUUGGCAUGCAUUCAAGAAGUCGAGUCCUAGAGAAGAUUUUGCUGGACUUUCCAGAAAUGUAGUUGCGUAUUCUGGGGGAUUGCCUCUAGCUCUUGAAGUCCUUGGGUCCUAUUUGUUUGACAGGGAGGUAAUAGAGUGGAAGAGUGUAUUGGAGAAACUCAAAAGAAUUCCCAAUGAUCAAGUACAGAAGAAGUUAAAAAUAAGCUAUGAUGGUUUAAAUGAUGAUACAGAGAAAGAAAUAUUCCUUGAUAUAGCUUGUUUUUUUAUUGGGAUGGACCGAAAUGAUGUCAUACAUAUAUUAAAUGGCUGUGGACAUUUUGCAGAGAUCGGAAUUAGUGUCCUUGUUGAGCGAAGCCUGGUAACUUUUGAUGAUAGGAACCAGCUUGGAAUGCAUGAUUUGCUAAGAGACAUGGGAAGAGAAAUCAUUCGUGAGAAAUCACCAAAGGAGCCUGAGGAGCGUAGCAGGUUAUGGUUUCAUGAGGAUGUGCUUGAUGUAUUAUCAGAACAAACUGGCACAAAAGCGGUUGAGGGACUGGCUUUGAAGUUGCCAAGAACUAAUACAAAAUGUUUGAGUACUAAAGCGUUUAAAAAGAUGAAGAAACUCAGAUUGCUUCAACUUGCCGGUAUACAACUUGAUGGAGAUUUUGAAUAUUUGUCAAGAAAUCUGAGAUGGCUGCAUUGGCAUGGAUUUCCUUUAACAUGCAUACCUGCAAACUUCUAUCAAGGAAAUUUAGUUUCCAUUGAGCUAGAAAACAGCAAUGUCAAACUUGUGUGGCAAGAGGCCCAGUUGAUGGAGAAGCUGAAAAUUCUCAAUCUUAGCCAUUCUCGUUAUUUGACACAGACCCCAGACUUUUCAAACUUGCCUAAUCUCGAAAAGCUAGUACUCACAGAUUGUCCAAGCUUGUGUGAGGUUUCCGAUACCAUUGGACAUCUUAAUAAAGUUCUUCUAAUAAAUCUGAAAGACUGUACUAGCCUUCGUAAACUUACAAGAAGCAUCUAUAAGUUGAAAUCUCUGAAAACUCUCAUUCUUUCUGGAUGUUCAAUGAUUGACAAGUUGGAAGAGGACUUGGAACAAAUGGAAUCCUUGACCACCCUGAUUGCGGAUAAAACUGCAAUAACAAGAGUGCCCUUUGCAAUAGUAAGGUUAAAAAGCAUUGGAUAUAUUUCUCUGUGCGGCUAUGAAGGAUUCUCACGGGACGUGUUUCCUUCCAUCAUUUGGUCUUGGAUGUCACCAACAAAUAAUCUCUCAUUUCUAGUUCCAACAUUUGCGGGCAUGUCAUCUCUCGUUUCUUUAAAUGUACCAAAUAGUAGUUCCUACAAUCUAUCAUCUAUUUCCAAGGACCUUCCAAAGCUUCGUAGUCUUUGGGUGGAGUGCGGCUCAGAACUUCAAUUAUCACGAGAUGCAGAAAGAAUUUUGGAUGCCUUAUAUGCCACAAAUUUUAAGGAAUUGGAAUCCACUGCAAUAAUAUCAAAAGUAUCAAAUAUGAAUACUUCUGCAUUAAUUGAAUGCAGCAGUCAAGUGCACCUUUCAGGAUCCAAAAAUUCCUUGAAAUCUCUUUUGAUUCAAAUGGGAAUGGAUUGCCAAGUCACCAAUAUUCUGAAAGAGACCAUUUUACAGAAUAUGACUAUCAGUGAGAGUGGUGGUUGUUUGCUCCCUGGUGAUAAUUAUCCAUAUUGGUUAACCUUCAAAUGCGAAGGUUCUUCUGUAAGUUUCGAAGUCCCUCAAGUGAACGGGCAUAACUUGAAGACAAUGUUGUGCAUUGUCCAUUCUUCUACCCCAGACAAGUUAACAUCAGAUGGUCUUAAAAAUGUGUUGGUGAUAAAUUACACAAAGACCACCAUUCAGCUUUACAAGAGAGAAGCAUUAGCCUCCUUUGAAGAUGAGGAGUGGCAGAGAGUAGCAUCAAAUAUAGAACCUGGUAACAAAGUGAUGGUUGUUGUUGUUUUUGAGAAUGAAUUCUUUGUUAAAAAGACAGCAGUUUAUCUCAUAUAUGAAGAACCAAUUGAUGAAAGAACAGAGCACUGCCAUGCACCAGAUAAGAAUGUUAUCGUUUCUAGUGAUUAUGAAAAUGUAUGUGGUGUCAGUUGGAUCUCUCCUCAAGUGGAGUGGACGGAUAACUUUAAACAAAAACAGAAAAGAAGAAGAUUCGAGUAAAGGGAAGAAGAUAUGGGUAACAUGGAUACAUGACAAUUGAUCAAGCAAAUGAAAAGUUAUGCUUGAACGGCAUUGGAAGGUGGAAAUCAACUUUGUUUUGUUGAGAAGUCAAGUCAUUCAAUAAGCUGACAAACAUGGAAAUCAUAUGGUUCAAGAAGAGUUGAUCUAUGUCUGAGACACGCCUCUUAUUCUCCUAAUGACAUUGGCUGUCUGCUAGCUAUUGUUGAAGCUUGCGCGCCAUUUGCAUGGCUAUGAUUGGAAGGACAAAAAGCACUAGAAGAUAAAAGAGGAAAGAAAAAUCAUGAAGAAUAUUCUACUGUUAUUUGGUGGAGGAAAAUGACAAAAUCUCAUGAUGCAUUUUUGAAGAAUCAAUCUUAGCCACUGAGAUGAGGACAAGUGUGUACACGAUCUAAAGGUUCCUUAGUCUUUUUAUUUUUUUUGAAAAGCGUUCUUUAGUCAUUGUUGUCAAUACAAGAUUCAGUUUAUUUUAUUUUAUAAGGUGUUUUACUGAUUUACUUUGCUGGUUUAUUGGCCAUUUUCCUACAAUAGUUUAUUUGAAGGGAAUAUCAUUGAAAAUAGGGAAAUUCUGCACCCAACCUCAUUUUCUCAGAGAUUUUGUCAUUUGCUUUGUCUAAUCUAUUUCUGA